rnacentral:rRNA from 1 species
AUAUGAAUCCCUCACCACUAACAGGCCAACCUAUACUACGAUAGGAGAAUUAAUGCUAGAAUGAGUAACCAGGGUAACUCCCUCUACGACGCAAGCUUACAUCUGUACAUUAUUAACAAGCACCCAAUAUACGACAAAUCCAACAAGCAGAGUAUUAAACACCUUGUUAACCCGACAGAGGAGCGUCCGUUAAGAAAGAUUAAAACCUGUAAAAGGAACUCGGCAAACACGUCAAGGCCCGACUGUUUACCAAAAACAUAGCCUUCAGCAAACCAAAGGACAAGUAUUGAAGGUGAUGCCUGCCCGGUGACAUAGUUCAACGGCCGCGGUAUCCUAACCGUGCAAAGGUAGCGCAAUCAAUUGUCCCAUAAAUCGGGACACGUAUGAAUGGCUAAACGAGGUCUUAACUGUCUCUUACAGGCAAUCGGUGAAAUUGAUCUCCCUGUGCAAAAGCAGGGAUAACCACAUAAGACGAGAAGACCCUGUGGAACUUCAAAAACAGCAACCACCCCAAUAUACAUUCACACCCAAAGCACUGGUUAGCAUUUUUUCGGUUGGGGCGACCUUGGAGCAAAGCAAAACCUCCAAAAAUUGGACCAUCCCUCCAGACUAAGAGCAACCCCUCAACGUGCCAACAGCACCCAGACCCAAUACAAUUGAUCAAUGGACCAAGCUACCCCAGGGAUAACAGCGCAAUCUCCUCCGAGAGUCCAUAUCGACGGGGAGGUUUACGACCUCGAUGUUGGAUCAGGACAUCCUAGUGGUGCAGGAGCUACUAAGGGUUCGUUUGUUCAACGAUUAACAGUCCUACGUGAUCUGAGUUCAGACCGGAGCAAUCCAGGUCGGUUUCUAUCUAUGAUGAACUCUUCCUCGUACGAAAGGAUCGGAAAAGUGAGGCCAAUACCACAAGCAAGCCUUCGCCUUAAGUAAUGAAGCCAACUCAAUUACAAAAGGCUAUCACACCACCCACAUCCUAGAAAAGGACAUCA